CGCUACAUACGGCUCAGUAACACGUGGCCAACCCACCCUCGGGACGGGGACAACCCCGGGAAACUGGGAUUAAUACCCGAUAGGCGAAGACUCCUGGAACGGGUCUUCACCCAAAAGGUGUUAGGAUCAUGCUUUUUAACAUCGCCCGAGGACGGGGCCGCGGCCGAUCAGGUAGUUGGCGAGGCAACGGCUCACCAAGCCUAUAACCGGUACGGGCCGUGGGAGCGGGAGCCCGGAGAUGGGCACUGAGACAAGGGCCCAGGCCCUACGGGGCGCAGCAGUUGCGAAAACUUGUCAAUGCACGAAAGUGUGAACGGGCUACCCCGAGUGCCGUCCGCUGAGGAUGGCUUUUCUCUGCUGUAAGAAGGCGGAGGAAUAAGGAGAGGGCAAGUCUGGUGUCAGCCGCCGCGGUAAUACCAGCUCUCCGAGUGGUAGGGAUGAUUAUUGGGCUUAAAGCGUCCGUAGCCGGCCUUCCAAGUCUUUCGUUAAAUCCAGCGAUUCAAUCGUUGGACUGCGGGAGAUACUGUUAGGCUAGGGGGCGGGAGAAGCCGACGGUAUUCUUGGGGUAGGGGUAAAAUCCUAUAAUCCCAGGAAGACCACCAGUGGCGUAGGCGGUCGGCUAGCACGCGCUCGACGGUGAGGGACGAAAGCUGGGGGAGCGAACCGGAUUAGAUACCCGGGUAGUCCCAGCUGUAAACGAUGCGGGCUAGGUGUUGGAGCGGCUACGAGCCGCUUCAGUGCCGCAGGGAAGCCAUUAAGCCCGCCGCCUGGGGAUACGGCCGGCAGGCUGAACUUAAAGGCCA
rnacentral:rRNA from 1 species